rnacentral:tRNA from 1 species
GCGCCCGUAGCUCAGCUGGAUAGAGCGGCGGUUUCCUAAACCGCAGGUCAACAGUUCGAAUCUGUUCGGGCGCG